CAGCCGCCGCGGUAAUACAGAGGGUGCGAGCGUUAAUCGGAUUUACUGGGCGUAAAGCGUGCGUAGGCGGCUUCUUAAGUCGGAUGUGAAAUCCCUGAGCUUAACUUAGGAAUUGCAUUCGAUACUGGGAAGCUAGAGUAUGGGAGAGGAUGGUAGAAUUCCAGGUGUAGCGGUGAAAUGCGUAGAGAUCUGGAGGAAUACCGAUGGCGAAGGCAGCCAUCUGGCCUAAUACUGACGCUGAGGUACGAAAGCAUGGGGAGCAAACAGGAUUAGAUACCCCCGUAGUCCCUGUUCUUAUACA
rnacentral:rRNA from 1 species